rnacentral:rRNA from 1 species
GAUGAACGCUGGCGGCGUGCCUAAUACAUGCAAGUCGAGCGAACGGACGAGAAGCUUGCUUUUCUGAUGUUAGCGGCGGACGGGUGAGUAACACGUGGAUAACCUACCUAUAAGACUGGGAUAACUUCGGGAAACCGGAGCUAAUACCGGAUAAUAUUUUGAACCGCAUGGUUCAAAAGUGAAAGACGGUCUUGCUGUCACUUAUAGAUGGAUCCGCGCUGCAUUAGCUAGUUGGUAAGGUAACGGCUUACCAAGGCAACGAUGCAUAGCCGACCCGAGAGGGUGAUCGGCCACACUGGAACUGAGACACGGUCCAGACUCCUACGGGAGGCAGCAGUAGGGAAUCUUCCGCAAUGGGCGAAAGCCUGACGGAGCAACGCCGCGUGAGUGAAGAAGGUCUUCGGAUCGUAAAACUCUGUUAUUAGGGAAGAACAUAUGUGUAAGUAACUGUGCACAUCUUGACGGUACCUAAUCAGAAAGCCACGGCUAACUACGUG